GCUGAUUGAGAGCUGUGCAAGUGCACCCGAGAAUUGUACAAGGAAUAUAAAAUCGUUGCAGUAAUGUAGAAAUAUACUGAUUUGGCGAAGAGUGCUGUGAACAAAGUAGAAAACCACUGUAAAACUUCUUCUGGCGUUUAUAUUGAGAACGUCGAUUCUGCAACCAGUGAAUAACAGACAUCGUUGUAUCGGAAUAUCUACGUCAGCUACGCAGGCUUGUU